UUGACCUCGGAUCAGGUAGGAAUACCCGCUGAACUUAAGCAUAUCAAUAAGCGGAGGAAAAGAAACCAACAGGGAUUGCCCCAGUAACGGCGAGUGAAGCGGCAACAGCUCAAAUUUGAAAUCUGGCCCCAGGCCCGAGUUGUAAUUUGCAGAGGAUGCUUUUGGCGCGGUGCCUUCCGAGUUCCCUGGAACGGGACGCCAUAGAGGGUGAGAGCCCCGUACGGUUGGACACCAAGCCUCUGUAAAGCUCCUUCGACGAGUCGAGUAGUUUGGGAAUGCUGCUCAAAAUGGGAGGUAUAUUUCUUCUAAAGCUAAAUAUUGGCCAGAGACCGAUAGCGCACAAGUAGAGUGAUCGAAAGAUGAAAAGCACUUUGAAAAGAGGGUUAAACAGCACGUGAAAUUGUUAAAAGGGAAGCGCUUGUGACCAGACUUGCGCCCGGUGAAUCACCCAGCUCUCGCGGCUGGGGCACUUCGCCGGCACAGGCCAGCAUCAGCUCGCCGUCGGGGACAAAAGCUUGGGGAACGUAGCUCUCUUCGGGGAGUGUUAUAGCCCCUUGCAUAAUACCCUUCGGCGGGCUGAG
rnacentral:rRNA from 1 species